GAUGAACGCUGGCGGCGUGCCUAAUACAUGCAAGUCGAGCGAACAGACGAGGAGCUUGCUCCUCUGACGUUAGCGGCGGACGGGUGAGUAACAUGUGGAUAACCUACCUAUAAGACUGGGAUAAUUUCGGGAAACCGGAGCUAAUACCGGAUAAUAUAUUGAACCGCAUGGUUCAAUAGUGAAAGUCGGUUUUGCUGUCACUUAUAGAUGGAUCCGCGCCGCAUUAGCUAGUUGGUAAGGUAACGGCUUACCAAGGCAACGAUGCGUAGCCGACCUGAGAGGGUGAUCGGCCACACUGGAACUGAGACACGGUCCAGACUCCUACGGGAGGCAGCAGUAGGGAAUCUUCCGCAAUGGGCGAAAGCCUGACGGAGCAACGCCGCGUGAGUGAUGAAGGUCUUCGGAUCGUAAAACUCUGUUAUUAGGGAAGAACAAAUGUGUAAGUAACUGUGCACGUCUUGACGGUACCUAAUCAGAAAGCCACGGCUAACUACGUG
rnacentral:rRNA from 1 species